AAAACGGCAACAAAAGUACCGGCUAAAGCCACAAAUGGGGAAAUAUUGAUCCCUAAGGAUGAAUCGGGUACGUUGUUGGAUGAAGGCUUGUAAUUGGUGACGUUACUACCGGCCGGAGAAGUGGUAGUGCCAUCAGAAGAUGGAGUUCCGGAGGAGGGACUUGUGCUCGAUCCUGCUGCUGCAACAGUGACUGCAACCUUCAUGCCACUCCCACAGUGGCCAGGAACACCACAAAUGAAAUAAUGAGUUCCGGCAGUCUUGAGGGCUAUUGUGGUAGCACCACUGCUAUCUGAAGUGAUUGCAUUGCCUGUAGUGCAUGUGCUGUAGUCACUGGCUCUCACUUCAUCUACCGUGUGGCCUCCUCCGUAGUUAAACACUAGAUUAUAUAUAUAAACAGAAACCUGAUUAGUAAAUCAAGUACUAAUCUUGAUCAGUAACGUGUACUGAGAGAAAGGGACUCACCAAGGCUGUCGCCAACUGAAAAGGUCUUGCCACUAGUCCAGGUGCUAUAAUCCAUACCAAUUGCCCAGCCUGAACUAUCUCCUACAGUGUGAUCUUUAGCCAAAAUGGGCACCACCGUGCACAAGACUACUAGGAUUGCACAAGGAACUGAUCUUGAAAUUAAACCGGCCAUUUUCCGGGAGAAAAGAAGAGAAGAGAAGAAGGUAUUUGGGUUGCUUUUAGGAUCGUCGUUGGGGGUGUUAUAUAGUGGAAUGAGUAAAUAUGGAGUGAGUAUAAUUAGGUCCACUUGAUUCCACAAAGCUCUUAGAAUGUGAAAGGGACUAAUUUCAUGAAGAUGACUUAACCCAUACUCCAUACCUAAUGCAAGGGAAAAGUGGGUUCACUUGAAGAUGGUUGGUGGGGAAAGAUGCAUCGUUAUGUGACCCCUAACUAAGGAAUGACCAGAGUUCUUCAACGUCAUAAUCCUUUUAUCUUCUUAUGAGCCGAAUGAAUUAAAUUCCAUAAUCAAGUAGACAGCAACAUGUGACUGAUCAUCAUGGAACGCUUAAAGCCUACGUCUACAAGUUCAAACAAAAUAAAAGAUGAGAUGAUAGCUUACAGGGAAUUAUUGGUCUUAUUUUCAAGGUCUGACGCUCCUAAUGGACAAGGCGCUUUUGGUAUCCUAUGCAAUAUGCAUCAGCUUCUUAUUUUUAUUUGUCAUCGAUCAAUUCAAAAGCCAUAUGUCUGCAUCAUAAUUGUUGGAAUGGAGGGGGCUUUUGUUGCUAGGGAAGGAAUGCCUUCUUAGUUCAUGGCUUUGGACUUCGGACAAGGAGCGCAUAGAAUGUUCGUUUAGAAUGGGGUUACCAUUUUUGGAAAAACUACAUUUGAGCCCUCGAACUAUUAUCAUAUAUGUUUAAUCUACAAUCCUCGUCCACUAGAAAAAGUUUGGGUUCAAAGUAGGCCUUUUCAUCCGCUCAAUGUAAACCAUGGAGAGAAAAAGGGACUAAUUGAAAAUAGUAUGUUAGUUGGAGGGUCUGAAUGUAUUAUGUCCAAACAUUCUCUUAUUCCUGUAUCAUCUCUGAGAAAUUCAUCCGAAAAUAAUAAAACAAAAUGGCCUUUUUAAAAUUAAUCUUUCUUGGAUAGCUAAGCUGCCCAUCAAAAUUAAGUUUACAAGAAGCGUAAUUCUUUGUUAAAAGGGUAUAUCGUUUAUUAAUCUUUCUUGGAUAGCUAAGCUACCCAUCUUACAAUUUUAGUUUUUAAGUUGAAUGUAAAUUGUUUAACAUGGCUGUGCAUUUUAGUGAAAGUUUCUUGAGAAUUAAGAAAAGCAGCCAAAUCUCUUACUAGUAAAUUGAUAUUACCCCAGUUUGUCUUAAACAGCAUCAUUUGUCUUUUUCAUGUAAAUCGAUAUUGCUUUUCUGCUAAGAAUGUACUGAAACUUUUUUCAUGUAAAUUCCAUCAUUUAUAUAAUUAUAUCUUCUGAACAUCAUGGAGAAAAACCACCCAGGAUCGGCCUGACAGCGAUGAUUCAUUCACAGGUAAUCUUAAGGAGAACGGGCACUUUCAUAAAAUCUUCACUGAAAAAUCUACACUUGUUUAUCUGCAUAUUAUUUGAAGCCAUGAUCAGAAGACAGCGAUGAUUCAUUCACAGGUAAUGUACGUAUAUUAUUUUAGCAUUAACUUUUGUUGCAAUGUCCAUGUUUAGAUAAAAACCGAGCACCUAACAUGUGCUUAAAAGUCACCCAUUGAUAUGAUUAUCACAAAGGUAUUUAAACUAUCGCAUGAUUACCCAAAACGAAACAACCCCACCUGGCACCCUGUGCAACCAAGCUCAAGAAAAAGGCAUGGUGUACUUUUAGAUGUGGUGGUUUGGUAAGGGUGGCUCCGGGUUUGGUUGGGUUCAUUCAAGUUCUCACCAACUGCUCAUGUGUGUUGUUUCCACAUGAGCCAUUACCAUCUACCCUCUGGUUGCCCCCCCUCCUAAAGUGCACUUGUCCCUUUUCUUCUUCUAGCUCAACCCAUUACCCACCCCACUCCUUUUUUUGCACGAUUUAUUCGCUCUCUCUGUCUUUUCGCAUUUAGCACAUUCUCAUUCCAGCUUUUGCAUCUUGGUGCACGAAGACGAGUUUUUCUCUUCUCUCGAUUCAAACUUGGAUGACAACAGGAAACAAAUCCACUUACUACUUGAACUAACACAUAAAGGUUAAUCUCAUCUCUUUAUAACACCAGGCCCACAUUUUCCAUCAUCAAACAUUUUGUUUCUCGAUUGAUUUCAUUUUACCUUUGCAAUGAAUGAUCCCGUUUUUGGGAACGCAAAAUGCCCUAUUUUACAUCCAGACUGAACAGCUAAGGUAAGCAUAAAGAUCUAAGGACCUGAGGAUUCUCACCUUUAAUCGCGACACCAAACACAUACCAGGUUAGACUUCGAUUACAUUGAUAGAAUUCAAAAUGCCUAAUCAAUUCAAUUUAUCACAUAUUAAUCAAUUCAAUGUUUUUCUAAUCCCAGUGACAAGGUCUUCAUCGCAUGCAAAAUUCGGAAGAUGCACAAUUACAUUGAUAGAACUCAAAAUUAGAGGUGUUCAUGAUAUAGUUGGAUUUGAUUUAAGUGUAUAAUUAUAUUCGAUCCGACUUUCGAUAUUUACAUAUUAUAAAUCUGAUCCAUUUAGUUUUUUUAGAAUCAAGCGUAUUAGAUAUACUGGUUUGAGCUAAAUUUCUUUUGGAUAUUAUAGAUAUCUAUGAUUUGGGCUAAUAUUGCUAAUUUUCAUGGGUCUGUAUUUAGAGAUAGAUUUACAACAUGUAUUGUAGGUGCCAUAACACCCUAAAUAUUAGGUCUAAUCUUCAUACCUUGCAUUGCCAUUAAAUUCUAGUCACAUUCCCCUCCCUUCCAGUAAAGAAACAAACUCUUUUUUGUUAUGUUAAAGAAUUUAAUACACUACCAGAAAAUUGACAAAUAGCAACGAAAACACUGAUGUAAAUAUUUCGUCGUACUUUCUCAUAUAAAUAGCGAUGGAAAAUUUCUGUUGGUAAUUACAGACCAAAAUUAUGAUGGAAUUUGUCCUGUCGAUAAUUUAUGAUAAAAUAGAAAAAAAAAAUAUUGUCUGCACUUCCAUCAGAAAUUUGACAUGUCAGUAUUUUUUUGAUGGAAUUAUCGAUGGACAUUCCAUCAAAAAAUUAAAUGAAAUAAAACUUGACAAUCCUCUUUUCCAUCCUCCUCCUCGUCUUCUUCUUCUUCUUCUUCCUAUCCAAAAAACCAGCAGCCCCCUCCACUUAUUUUCUUAUAAUUAAAUCCAGCCAUCAUCCUAAAAAUUCUAGCCACCCCAAACCACCAACAUCGAUCUAAAUUUAUCAAUAGUAUCAAUAUUUCUCUCUUAGUUCAAUAUACUAUGAAGCUCUGCUACAUUAAGUAAGCAAACCUAUCCAUUUUUCUUGUAAUCUAUUUAUGUUUUAGGUUAAUUUAUUGGAAUUUUUUAAUACUAUUUGUAGUUUGCUUGUAUAUUUAAGAGUUUUACCCUUUUUUUCAAAUAAAACUUUGUUGUAUUAAUGUAUGAUUUAUAUGUUAGGGGUUGUUUGAGAUUUGGGAAAAAUUGAAUUCAUUUGUCAUUUGAUGAAAUUGAGUUUGAUUUUGUAACUUAAGUGUGCUAUGAUAAUUGAAGAAAUAAUGGGUUAUUUAAUACUUGUCAAUUAUAUUUUAUUAAUUUUAUUGUCAAAUUGAAAAUUUGAGAAAAUUAAUUUUUUAGGAAAUUGAUAACAAUUAAAAUGUAUUAAUUUAGGUUGAAUAAGUUUGAAUUGAACAAACUUAUGAUUAAGAUAUGAUGUUGGUGCUUUAUAAUUUAUUACAUUGAAAGGAGGAUUAUGAUUAAAAGGUGUAGAUAUGAUGUUAUAUUAUGCAAUAAAACUAAAAUUGUGUAAGAUAUUUGUUGAUACUUUAUAAUACAUUAUAUUUAUAUUUGUUGUAUAUUUUUGAAGAUGUGUUCAUUAAUUGUAACAACUAAACAAUAAAUAUAAUAUAAUUUUUUUAAAUAGUGUAAAAUGUAACACUAGCAACAACAAAGGCAACAUCAAAUAUGUUAGUAGUUCAAGGCUUGUUGGUACUUUAUAAUGCAUCAUAUUUAUAUUUUUUGUUAUGGUUGUGGAUUUAAUGUGAGCAAUUAUUGAAUUGAAUAUGCUUGAAUAUGAUUGUAAAAAGUAAACAAAAAAAAUUCCUUCAUUGUUGUCAGACUUAAUGACAGACCAAGGUAUUUUGACCGAUUCAAUGACAAACUAUUUCAUCAAAAAUAAAGAUUCUUAAUUUUGAUGGAAUUGGAGAUGAAAUUUCAUUUUCAUUGGAAAGUUACAGAAGGUUUUGGGUGUUCUAAAAGAAUCAACAAAGGAAUAUUCUGUCAUAAAUUAAGAUUCUUAUUUUCAACAGAAUCGAUGAUGGACUUAUCAUUUCAUCGAAAAGUUACAGAAGGUUCUGAAUAUUUAGAUGAAAGUGAUAAUGGAAUAGUCUUUAAAAAAUUACCAAUUUUUAUUUCUGACAGAAUCGAUGAUAAAAUAAAAACUAUUAAAAAAUAAAAAAAGUUUGUCGGUAUUGGUAACAUGUCUAAAUCACCAACAAAAUUUCCAUCGGUGAUGUUUAAAUAUUAAAACAUGACGAUUCCUCUUUUCUCUCAUUUUUUUUUCUUCUUAAAAUUUCAAAUACCUUCUUUCUCACCAUCUCUCUUCUCUAUUGCUAUCAAACAUUGUCUCUCUUUUUCCUCACUAGCCGACCAACCUAUCUCUCUUGUUAACCAGCAGUGCAUCCUUUCUUUCUCUCUCUCUCUCUCCCCCCUCUCUCUCUCUUAACUGGUUUGCCCUCCCUCUUUUUUUCUUUUUCUCUAAGUCUUAACAUUCAAAUAAUAAUCAUAAACUACUCUAAAUUGUCAGGGUUAGUCUUAUUAAUAUAAUAUUUUUUAAUUGAUUUUUUUGUAUUUGUAUGGUUUAAAAACAAUUAGGUUUAGGUUAAAUUAAAGAUCGUAAUUUGAUUUUUUUUUUACGUUUGAUGAUUUAGUUAUGAAAUUGAUUAGGUCAUGAGUCUUGAUUCUUUUGAGGGAUUGGGUCGUCCAAUCUUGUGGAUUUGUCAAGCUUAGGUAAUCCAUGUACCUUGGGCUUUCAUUCCCCAUUGUUUAUAGCAUUGCAUUUGAGAUAUAAUCAUUUUGCUUUUGCUAAUUGAGGUUUUUUAUCCUUUUUUUAAUGGUUAAAGAUUUUAACCUCAAAUAAGAUUAGUUAGAUUAUUAGGAAUGUGUUAGUUAAUUUGUUUUAGUAGAUUUGCAAUGUGUUUUGGGACUUGUGUUUCAUGCCAAUUCUUUUUUAUUAUUAAUGGGCUAGGAAUUAUUCUAUAUAUUUAGAAUUGGAAUUGGAUUUCCUUAUUUGAUGAAUUUAUGGAUUUCAUAGUUACAUAAAUAUAUAUUUAAUAAUUUUUUAUGUGAUAAUAGAUAUGUAAACUUGCUAACUAUAACAUCAAAUAAAUUUUCCAAUAAUAUAAUUCAUUCAUAUCUUUUAUAGUAUGAUGAUUGUGUGAGACCCAAAUCAAUAUUAAACAAGAAAGAAUUAAAAAAUAUUUAACAAGAAAUGUAAUGAUUUAUAUUUGUGUUUAAAGGUUUGAAAUAAAAGAAUAUAGUUAGCUUUAAUUAUUUGACAUUGUGUCAUUUCAUCGUUGAAUAUUUUUUGUUGGGUGUAUGAAAAGGUUAUAAUCACCCUUUUCUUAUAAAAAAAAACACCUAGAUGAAGACAAAUAGUCCAAUAAAGGAAAAGAAAUAGGGUUGUAAAAUUAAAGGAAAUUGAAAUAUGGGUCCAAACAAUGAAACCCUGUUACUUUAUCUUGUACUUGUAAAUGCUUGACCAAAAUAUGAUGUAGCUUUGCAAUAUAGAUUUAUAGGUGUUUAUAGUAUGUGGAGAUUGUAUAUUAUUUGUGAUCUAAACCUAAUGGAUUAUGGGUUUCGAGCUUGUAGAAUGAAUGUAGUUUGGGUGGUUGUUGUGCUUGUCUAUAUUAAUGUAGGGUAAAAUCUUGGGUAGGAUCCCCGUAUAGGGAAAUUCUAUCAAACUUUUUAUUAAAUCACUUAUCAACUUAUUGUAAAAUUAUUAGAAUUAGUAUCUUGAUGAACAUUUUGAUUUGUGUUAAUUGUUUCUUAUAGACACCAUGUUUCAAAGGAGAAAAAAGUUUCAAGUCUAACAAGAGCAUUGUUAUUUCAUCAAGUAGUAGUGUCGGUGAUCGUAAGUGUGCCAUUAAUUUAGAUGUCGAUCAUGGGAAGGCACUUAAAAAGGCAUCUUAUGUAGAUGUUAUCGAUCAAAGCUCAUUUAAUAUGAGCAGAAGAGCUGGAAUCCCUUCGAAAAUAGAUUGAUAUACAAUAAAAACUAUGGUUGAAUGGAAGGUCGACAAUUUUACAUAAGUCAUGUCUUUUCUCACUGACGAACUUAUUUAUUUGUAUUAGGUUAUUUUAAGUUUUACAUUAAAUAAAAAUGACUUUCAUGAAUUAAUUUUAAGGUUUACCAAUAUUGAAGCUUUCCAUUUAAUAACAAGUAUGAUAAAAUCAUCGUUCAAAGAACAAUUGUUUCAAUAAAGUUGACUUUAAGAUCAUCCUGAAUGGAUGAAUGUAGUAGAUGUAUGCUGGGGAAAAUUGAAGGUUAGAUAAAUAAUUUAUACUUUUUUAUAUAGUUUUCCCAUAAUUUUGAAAACUAUUCAAUGUUUGAAUUGAAUUUUAAGAAAAAGUUUUACCGAGACACGAAAAAUGAGCAAGUGGUCAGGAAAGUGCGGGAAAAUCAUAAUGCAAUUAGGUAAGUAUCAAGCAAUAAGAUGUUAUAUUAUUGUAAAUUUCUAAUCUUUUAUUCUAUUACAUAGUUUUUGUUUAAUAAGUUUUUGUACCAAGUUGCGUGGUUGUGGUAUGAUGCUCAUAAAUAUGCAAUGAACAAAGCUGACUUUGAUGACAUAAUGUUGUGGAAAAAUUAUAAACCAAAACACAUCAUGAAGGAUAAUUGGGAAAAGUUUCAAGAAUUUAUGACAUCAGAUGAAUUUAAAAAGCGCUUAUGAUCCGAUUCUCAAAACAGAAACGAAGAAAAUCAUAAUUUAGUGAGUAAGCAUACCGAGGGAGCGCUUCCUUUUGUGAACCAUAUAAGGCAUCUGAUAAGAGCUUGUUGUUGUAUAUUUAUUUAUUUAUUUUUAAUUUAGUCUUCAUUUUUAGACUUUUUUAUACUAUUUAUUUUGUAAAAAAAAAAACAGCUUGAGUAGAAACCAACUCCAAUAGAGUUAUAUAAGGAAACUUAUAGAAGAAAAGCGGAUUGGAAAAAAGAAGUGAACUUUUUUCGAGCGAAAUAGCUCGUUGUAAGUUUUUUAAUAAAUUUCUUUCAAUUGACCGUGAUUAAUUGAGUUUAAUUACAAGAAUUUUAUUAUUUAGGGACCAAAUCCAAACAUUCAAGGAAUUAGAAGGACCAAAAAGAUAAAGACAAUCCAAGUUUCCAAAUUUGAAGAAUUAGCUACGGAAACAACAAUGUUUAUUCAUUAAUCGCGUGCGGCUUGGUUUAUUUUGUUUUUCUUUACUAUAUAGGAAAAAAACUAUCAUGUUAGUAAUUAUAUUACUAUUUCUUCUAAUUAGUUUAGUUAUUAUUAAAUUUAAUAUUUUUUAUAUAUAUAGAGAAUCAUUAUUAAAUUUAGUCUAUACCAUAUUUUGUUAGCGUCUCAGUACCCUUCAAACCUCGGGGACAUGGUGGCAGAAAAAAGUGAAGGGAGCAAGUUCGCCACUUAACUUAGUUAUAGCAUUUAGUAUUAAAGAGACAAAAUCUGAUCUUCAAAGUUGCAUGUAUCAAUGUUCGAAAGGAUGUUGGAAGGGAGAUCAAGAAAAAAACCUAUGUACUUUCCUUUCAGUCAAGCACAGAGGUGGGUUAGCCAUUAGAAUUUGGGUUAAAUUGUAAGACUUUUAUUAUUCAGGGAUGAAAAGGGUGCCCUUUUCCGUUGGUCGCUUGUUUCCUUGGCUCUCGCGGGCUUUGCCGCGUUUUAUUCCAAGAAAAAAAAGAAAAGAAAAAUACAUUAGAGAGGUUUCCAGUUAAUUUGGAAAAUCACGCUUCGAUGGUAUAGGAUUCCAAUUCACUUUCUAAUUUUACCAGCUCGGAGGUGAACAUCAUAGAUCAAAAUGGGUCACUAUUCAGUUGUAACCAUUUUUGUUAAGAUUAAUGAGUUUUGGUAAUUUACAAUUAAAUAAUACUCUUCUCUAUAUUAAUCGACUUAAUUAUUAGAAAAGGAAGUAAUUUUACCUAAUACUAAGAGAUUAAUGAUCGAAUUACCAUCCGCAUUCAAAUGAGAGGGAUGGGGGAAAGCAAAGGGAUUAAACUGAACCUCUGCUGGCAGAAACGAAAUAGAAUUUUCAGGGGUACAUAUGAGGAAAAAAAGAGAAACUUAAUUAUGAACCAUGAUCACAUACUUAAUCUAUAAUCUCAUAUUACUACUCGUUCGUAACGAUAAACAGUAAUAAUCCUGAAUACAAGCAGAACUUCAGGAAAAGCAAGAACCAAAAAAAAGAGGGAUCUAGCAGAGCACUGCCUCUAUCCUGGCAAUUCAUUAGAAAACCAUCACAAAAACGGCGACACAAGUACCGGCUAUAGCCACAAAUGGGGAAAUAUUGAUCCCUAAGGAUGAAUCGGGUACGUUGUUGGAUGAAGGCUUGUAAUUGGUGACGUUACUACCGGCCGGAGAAGUGGUAGUGCUAUCAGAAGAUGGAGUUCCUGAGGAGGAGGGACUUGUGCUCGAUCCUGCUGCUGCAACAGUGACUGCAACCUUCAUGCCACUCCCACAGUGGCCAGGAACACCACAAAUGAAAUAAUGAGUUCCGGCAGUCUUGAGGGCUAUUGUGGUAGCACCACUGCUAUCUGAAGUGAUUGCAUUGCCUGUAGUGCAUGUGCUGUAGUCACUGGCACUCACUUCAUCCACCGUGUGGCCUCCUCCGUAGUUAAACACUAGAUUAUAUAAACAGAAACCUGAUUAGUAAAUCAAGUACUAAUCUUGAUCAGUAACGUGUACUGAGAGAAAGGGACUCACCAAGGCUGUCGCCAACUGAAAAGGUCUUGCCACUAGUCCAGGUGCUAUAAUCCAUACCAAUUGCCCAGCCUGAACUAUCUCCUACAGUGUGAUCUUUAGCCAAAAUGGGCACCACCGUGCACAAGACUACUAGGAUUGCACAAGGAACUGAUCUUGAAAUUAAACCGGCCAUUUUCCGGGAGAAAAGAAGAGAAGAGAAGAAGGUAUUUGGGUUGCUUUUAGGAUAGUUGCUGGGGGUGUUAUAUAGUGGAAUGAGUAAAUAUGGAGUGAGUAUAAUUAGGUCCACUUGAUUCCACAAAACUCUUAGAAUGUGAAAGGGACUAAUUUCAUGAAGAUGACUUCACCCAUACUCCAUACCUAAUGCAAGGGAAAGUGGGUCCGAUUUUCCUCUGCUUCUCUUAAUUUGUUGCUUCUCUUGAACAUGAUUGUUAGGAAAAGAUGCAUCGUUUUUAUGUGAUUCGUCACUAAGGAAUGACCAGAGUUCUUCAACAUGUGACUGAACAUCAUAGAACACUUAAAGCCUACGUCUACAAGUUCAAAGAAAUUAAAGAUGAGAUGAUAACUUACAGGGAAAGUGGUCUUAUUUUCAAAGUCUGAUGCUCC
rnacentral:lncRNA from 1 species